rnacentral:sRNA from 1 species
UCGUAAUGACUACUACUGUCCGAGUUUUGCAACUAG